GGUCGGAGCCUCGCCGGCGAUGCCGGCGCACAGCGCGCACCGUGGGCUGCCUGCUGGGAAUCCCUCCCCAGCUGGGGAGAAAGGCAGUUGUUUUCCCCCUGGCGGAACGCUCCACUUGAAACCGUUCCACCAGGGCUGUUCUCGCCUCCGACUCGGGGAAGAACUGUAAUUAACACAGCAACAAACGCCCACGACGCUAACUGGCAAAGGGAGUGUAACACGAGCCGCUUCUCCAACCGAACUGGGCCAAUUGCUUUCCCUUCUUGCCUCCCCAUUUGGUCUGUUUUGGUUCCGCAGUCAUCCAACUGUGGCGUUUCUUAAAACAUGUCAGUGGCUGGUGUUUGUGUUUGGGGUUGAACAGUUUCACACACGUCGCUGGAGACGGUGCUCGGCCAGCUGCUGUGCUGGGUCUUCGCUUUCUGCGGCUCCGGGAGUGUCAGGUAGAAAAAUGAAGAAGUGACUGGGGAAGGCGGGGGGCGGGUGGAGGUGAGGAAGGACGCCGGCCUCCUCCGGUUGCCUGCAGUUGGAUCGGUAGCCACUUCUGGACGAGGACGGGUAAAACCGGUCUGCCGGGUUUCCAGGAGGAGCAGUUGGAGAUGUCCCACGUGGAAACUUCUGUGACACAUUUCCUGCAACUCCUCAGAUUUCACAGAACUCAGUGGCAGUCUUCUAAAGCAGCGACCCACUGGGUAGCACGUCUUUGCACUGGCCUUCCUUCUUCUCUUUUGGCUCUCCUGUCCCUCCCUCUUGCUCCCUGAGAUCACUUCCAAAUACAAUAUCUGCUGCAAUGCA